rnacentral:lncRNA from 1 species
ACGACGCUAGACCAAAGGGCAUUUUAAGUUCGAGAAGGAUUCGGGUCACCUCGUCGACGGGCGACGUAGUAUUAAAUGCUGCACGGACACGUUACAUAAAAGAAAAAAGUUAUCGUUCAAAUUUUCAAAAAAUCCGAAAUAACAACGUCUACUUAUGUGGCACGCUAGCAAGAAAAUAUACAACAAAGUUAUAAGUACAAAGCCUACAACACUACUUUUGUUCGUAAGAAAAAAUCGACAAUAAAAAAGGAGAGGAAAAAGAGGAAGAGGUCCGCCCCGAUGACGGACCCAAGGAUGGGCCAGGGGGCGUACGAAGGCGCCCCUACGGGCCCGAUUUCAGGGGACCCGAUAGAAAAUGGUGCAAAUCGCUAGCCGGAAGAGACGGAGACCCACGAGAGACAGAGCCAUGGGAACCACACGACCA